UGGUAAGUGGUGUAGUGGUUGGAGCAUCAGACUAUGACUCUGGAGACCAGGGUUCGAAUCCCAGCUUGGCCA